GACGAACGCUGGCGGCGUUCUUAACACAUGCAAGUCGAACGGUAAGGCCCUUCGGGGUACACGAGUGGCGAACGGGUGAGUCACACGUGGGUGAUCUGCCCUGCACUUCGGGAUAAGCCUGGGAAACUGGGUCUAAUACCGGAUAGGACUCCUGGCUUCAUGGGUGGGGGUGGAAAGCUUUUGCGGUGUGGGAUGGGCCCGCGGCCUAUCAUCUUGCUGGUGGGGUGAUGGCCUACCAAGGCGACGACGGGUGGCCGGCCUGGGAGGGUGACCGGUCACACUUGGACUGAGAUACCGCCCCGACGCCUACGGGAGGAAGCAGGAGGGAAUAUUGCACAAUGGGCGCAAGCCUGCUGCAGCGACGCCGCGUGAGGGAUGACGGCCUUCGGGUUGUAGACCUCUUUCAGCUCUGACGAAGCGCAAGUGACGGUAGUAGCAGAAGAAGGACCGGCCAACUACGUGCCAGCCGCCGCAGUAA
rnacentral:rRNA from 1 species